rnacentral:rRNA from 1 species
GAAUCCGCUAAGGAGUGUGUAACAACUCACCUGCCGAAUGAAUUAGCCCUGAAAAUGGAUGGCGCUGAAGCGGGUAGCCGACACCACGCCGUCUGGACAAAGUGGUUUUUUCAGAUGAGUAGGAGGGCGUGGCGGUUGUAUCGAAGCGUGGAUGCGAAUCUGCGUGGAACAGCCGCUAGUGCAGAUCUUGGUGGUAGUAGCAAAUAUUCAAGCGAGAUCCUUGAAGGGCGAAGCGGGGAAGGGUUCCACGCGAACAUUGAUUGGGCGUGGGUGAGUCGUUCCUAAGCCGCGUGGCAAUAGCUAAUUACCGGCGAAAGGGAAGCAGGUUGACAUUCCUGCACACGGAUGUGGAGACGGCGACGAUACAUGAGGCGAUCACGCUGGCGGUGGCGCUGGGCAGAGUUGUCUUUUCUGUUUGACCAACGAAUACUUGCUGUGUGGAAUCCGCUUGUCGGGAGAAACACGCAAGUACGGGCAGAGCGCCGGGGCUUUUCCGGCGUCCAGCUCGCCACCGACGGCCCUUGAAAAAUUGCCUGCUGGACAACAUUUCGGUGUUGUGAGAUCCACGCCGUGGCGUACCGAUAACCGCAUCAGGUCCCCAAGGUGAACAGCCUCUGCUCAGUAUGAACAAUGCAGGUAAGGGAAGUCGGCA